UACGAAGGGGGCUAGCGUUGCUCGGAUUGACUGGGCGUAAAGGGCGCGCAGGCGGCGCAUUUUGUCAGGCGUGAAAGCCCCGGGCUUAACCUGGGAACUGCGUUUGAUACGGAUGGGCUAGAGUUCGGGAGAGGAGAGUGGAAUUCCCAGUGUAGAGGUGAAAUUCGUAGAUAUUGGGAAGAACACCGGUGACGAAGGCGGCUCUCUGGACCGAGACUGACGCUGAGGCGCGAAAGCGUGGGGAGCAAACAGG
rnacentral:rRNA from 1 species